CGGACGGGUGAGUAACACGUAAGGAAUUUGCCUUUAGGAGGGGGGAUAACAACUGGAAACGGUUGCUAAUACCCCCAUAUGCUUCCAAGUGAAAUGGAUUUUUCCGCCUAGAGAGAAAGCUUGCGGCUGAUUAGCUUGUUGGUAAGGGUAAUGGCUUACCCAAGGCGACGAUCAGUAUCUGGUUUGAGAGGGAUGAUCAGACACACUGGAACUGAGACACGGUCCCAGACUCUUACGGGAGGCAGCAGUGGGGAAUUUUUCCGCAAAUGGGCGAAAGCCUGACGGAGCAAAUACCGCGUGAGGGGAUGACGGCCUAUGGGUUGUAAACCUCUUUUUUCAGGGAGGAAAAAAAAUGACGUUACCUGAAGAAUAAGCAUACGGCUAACUCCGUGCCAGCAGCCGCGGUAAGACGGAGGAUGCAAGUGUUAUCCGGAAUCACUGGGCGUAAAGCGUCUGUAGGUGGUUUAAUAAGUCAACUGUUAAAUCUUGAGGCUCAACCUCGAAACCGCAGUCGAAACUAUUAGACUAGAGUAUAGUAGGGGUAAAGGGAAUUUCCAGUGGAGCGGUGAAAUGCGUAGAGAUUGGAAAGAACACCGAUGGCGAAGGCACUUUACUGGGCUAUUACUAACACUGAGAGACGAAAGCUAGGGUAGCAAAUGGGAUUAGAUACCCCAG
rnacentral:rRNA from 1 species